AUUGAACGCUGGCGGCAUGCCUAACACAUGCAAGUCGAACGAGUGGCGGACGGGUGAGUAAUGUCUGGGAAACUGCCCGAUGGAGGGGGAUAACUACUGGAAACGGUAGCUAAUACCGCAUACCAUCGGAUGUGCCCAGAUGGGAUUAGCUAGUGGGUGGGGUAAUGGCUCACCUAGGCGACGAUCCCUAGCUGGUCUGAGAGGAGGACCAGCCACACUGGGACUGAGACACGGUCCAGACUCCUACGGGAGGCAGCAGUGGGGAAUAUUGCACAAUGGGCGCAACCCUGAUGCAGCCAUGCCGCGUGUAUGAAGAAGGCCUUCGGGUUGUAAAGUACUUUCGGCAGGGAGGCGGUACUCGCAGAAGAAGCACCGGCUAACUACGUGCCAGCAGCCGCGGUAAUAC
rnacentral:rRNA from 1 species